rnacentral:rRNA from 1 species
GAAGAACGCUGGCGGCGUGCCUAAUACAUGCAAGUUGAGCGCUGAAGGUUGGUACUUGUACCAACUGGAUGAGCAGCGAACGGGUGAGUAACGCGUGGGGAAUCUGCCUUUGAGCGGGGGACAACAUUUGGAAACGAAUGCUAAUACCGCAUAAAAACUUUAAACACAAGUUUUAAGUUUGAAAGAUGCAAUUGAAUCACUCAAAGAUAAUCCCGCGUUGUAUUAGCUAGUUGGUGAGGUAAAGGCUCACCAAGGCGAUGAUACAUAGCCGACCUGAGAGGGUGAUCGGCCACAUUGGGACUGAGACACGGCCCAAACUCCUACGGGAGGCAGCAGUAGGGAAUCUUCGGCAAUGGACGAAAGUCUGACCGAGCAACGCCGCGUGAGUGAAGAAGGUUUUCGGAUCGUAAAACUCUGUUGGUAGAGAAGAACGUUGGUGAGAGUGGAAAGCUCAUCAAGUGACGGUAACUACCCAGAAAGGGACGGCUAACUCCGUGCCAGCAGCCGCGGUAA